rnacentral:tRNA from 1 species
UCCCCGGUGGCUCAGACGGUAAAGCAUCUACCCGCAAUGCAGGAGACCCAGGUUCAAUUCCUGGGUCGGGAA